UGAACCAAACUGUGGCCAAAGCAGUUUUCGGUAGGCUACAAUUCCCCCCUACCGGAUUAUCGUCCUUCUGUCAGCUUUGAACUAACCCUAACCUUUUCCCAGUAACAGACCAGGUAAUCGUCUGAACCGUAGUACAGCUCAUCCUCCACACUUUCCUCAGGUAAAAUCUGCAGUCCUUAGGGUGGCGUUCCAGUUCGUUCUUGACCAGCUUCACUGCUUGCUUCUUGCCCUCCAGUGUUCCAGUCUGACACUUGCCCCAAUAUGCCCUACUUUAAAUUUCCCUUCUCAUCGCCCUUCAAGGUAGCAAUAGGACACGCUUUUGAAUUUCAAGGACCCAGCUUGGAGUUCGCACGUCCUUUCUGAGGAUUUCCUAUGUACUCAAGUCUUUUCUGCCCCUCCAAACAACGAAGAUAUUUUAAAUGAUUUAACAUAGUACUUAACACAUUACUAUAUCUGUGUUACCCAGUGUCUCCCGUAAGAUGGUAAAUUCUUUGAGGGGCGAGGAUUAUGUCUUUAAUUUCUCUGUUCCAGGGACCUAGCAAAGUGCCUUGUACAUCCGCAGUCACUCCAUUAAUGUCUGAAAAAUGAAUAAUUUAUAAAUGAAGAAGCACAGUAGAACAAGGAACUGAUAUUUACAGUGGAUAUGUUGGUGCUCUGGCUCCAGUCUUAUUAUUUGGACACUGGGGUUAAGCUUUUGAUGACGAGUGACAUUUCCUGUAUAUUAUCACCAAAGAGCUGGAGAAACUAUCUCUGAACAAAAAACAGUCUUCACUUAGAAAAUGCUCUUUUCGGCUCCUGAAUAGCUCAAGACUGUAAGAUAAUAUUUUGCAGGAAAAGACAAUCC
rnacentral:lncRNA from 1 species